rnacentral:rRNA from 1 species
UACGGAGGGUGCAAGCGUUAUCCGGAUUGACUGGGCUUAAAGGGUGCGUAGGUGGGCCGGUAAGUCAGGGGUGAAAUCUCCGGGCUUAACCCGGAAACUGCCAUUGAUACUAUUUGUCUUGAAUACUGUGGAGGUCAGCGGAAUAUGUCAUGUAGCGGUGAAAUGCUUAGAUAUGACAUAGAACACCAAUUGCGAAGGCAGCUGGCUACACAAAUAUUGACACUGAGGCACGAAAGCGUGGGGAUCAAACAGG